GGUGUGCACCACCAGGUCCUGUUAAAACUGUUUUCAUACGCAAAGGUUUGGAGCAGACAUUUCUCCAUAGAAGAUAUAGCAAUGGCCAAGAAGCACACGAAAAGAUACUAAUGUCUUCAUGUAAAGGGUCGAAUCCAGGACCUCAUACAUGCUGGGCAAGCACUAUGUCACGGAGCUACAUUCAAGACUUGAGACCCUCUUGGAUAAUAUGGACCUAAGGAGGUGAGCAAAUGUGUGGACAUCUUCGUUCUGCCUUUCACUGUCAA